GUGAAACUCAAACAGGUUUUGUAAGUGAUGGCAGAAUUAAUAUUUUUGGGUGAAUUAUCCAUUUAAAGGAAGACACUGAUAAAUCUGACGUGGCUCUGAAAUGUCUGGAAACACCACUGAAUGCACGUUGAUCGGCUAAAAAUAGUACGGAAAUAAUUAAAGGCAUAUCGCAGACGUGACGUUUGGACUGACCCAGAUGACAGAUCUGCUGGCUGGACUUCUGCACAGAGAAAGGGCAACAGCAUCUCCUGAAGCACAGGACCCUCCACAUCAAAAGCUACUGGUCAGCCCACGAUUUAGAAAACUUGAAAAACAAAUUGCUUAUAAACCACCAUCUAAGCAUGCUAUAGACCUGAACAAUGCAGUGGCUUCUAACAUUUUCUGUUAUACCGUUCGUAAGGAUUAUGUAUUUGUGU